AGAGUUUGAUCAUGGCUCAGGAUGAACGCUAGCGACAGCGGGGUUAACACAUGCAAGUCGAGGGGCAGCGGGGGUAGCAAUACCCGCCGGCGACCGGCGCACGGGUGAGUAACGCGUAUGCAACUUACCUAUCAGAGGGGGAUAACCCGGCGAAAGUCGGACUAAUACCGCAUGAAGCAGGGAUCCCGCAUGGGAAUAUUUGCUAAAGAUUCAUCGCUGAUAGAUAGGCAUGCGUUCCAUUAGGCAGUUGGCGGGGUAACGGCCCACCAAACCGACGAUGGAUAGGGGUUCUGAGAGGAAGGUCCCCCACAUUGGUACUGAGACACGGACCAAACUCCUACGGGAGGCAGCA
rnacentral:rRNA from 1 species